ACCAGUUCGCCCCACGGGUCCGAUGAGACGCGUGAUGGUACAUCGCCUGACUGCUCCCUCCUCCACCUCCACCUCGGUCGCCAUGGCCUCCUCCUCUUCCCAGUACCCUCCCUCAAGUCCCUCCUCGCUGGUCGUCGACAUGGAGACCGGGCCGGGCGGCAUCACGAGGGCCCUCGCCUGCCUCCACGCCCCCGACGCUUCUCGCAUCUCCGCCGUCCUCCGCCUCCCAGAGGCCUGACCCGUCUGGUUGUUGACAUGGAGACUUCACCCGCAUCUCCUCCGUCCUCCGUCCUCCCAGAUGCGCGGGCUUCCAAGUUCUGAAGCUGCCGCAUCCAAAGUAAUUCGGUUACCCAAUCUCUCCCCCGCUGCAUCCAAGGCUCGCUUUCAGGGCAUGUUCUCCAGGUUCAUUCCCGGUUCUCCACCAACACUUUCCCCAGCUGGGACCGUGCACAGCCAAUGCGUGUCUUAGACUCUUAGGCCACAAUGGAGAGAUCAAUACACUCAAAGGGAACAAGAAUUGGAUGAAAGCUCUUGAGGGUCUCUUGAAGUGUGAGAAGCUUGGCCUAUCAGAGGAAGAAAUGUCAAAUAUUCUUUCAAUUGUAGAUGCCACCUCUUCAGAUUCAGGCGCAUUGGAUGGUGUUCUUGAGCUCCUUAUACGAGGUCGUUACCCGUUUGGUAGAAGCCUGCCAGAAGCUGUAAUGAUGAUGAUUCCUGAGGCGUGGCAGAAUGAUGUAAACAUGGAACCUCAGAAGAGAGCCCUCUACGGGUUGAGCCUUGGGAUGGACCUGCUCUAAUAUCUUGUACGAUGGUGGCCAGAUGGGGUUUGAGACAAGAGGUGAGGCUGG